CAGAUUAAGAAAUAAUAAAAAACACCUCCCUACAACAUAGGUAAUGGAAUUUUAACUUUUUGUUUUUUUUUCUCUUUUUUUAAAAAAGCACUUCUUAACAAAAUAUCUUCUUUUGUACAAAAUAACAUUUGAGUCAUCUUUUCAGCUGCUAAUGUUUUUU